rnacentral:lncRNA from 1 species
GGAGAUCAGAAACAGGGGCGUGUUCAUUGUUGUCAAGAGUCAUCUUGAAGCCUAGCAGUGUUUUCAGCAAAAUGGUGCGUAAUUUGCUUCAUGUUUCCAUGAGGAUGUUUCAUCUUGUUUAUUGAAAGAGGAAGUACAGUUAAGUCCUGUCACCGCUGGGAACCGAUUCUGUACUACUCACUCUCUAGCAAUUCAAAGGAAAAGGAAGAGAAAACUGGCUAAGAGAAACAGAAAGCAACUCUGUGAGAUAAAGAUGGAAAACCUUCAUGCCAUUUAAAUCCCUUUUAUAUAUGAAGAAAAAUGUAAUCAUAGAGAGUUUAAAAGCGAUUUCAUCAAAGCCAG